GACGAACGCUGGCGGCGUGCCUAAUACAUGCAAGUCGAGCGAAGUUUUUCUGGUGCUUGCCCUAGAAAAACUUAGCGGCGAACGGGUGAGUAACACGUAAAGAACCUGCCUCAUAGACUGGGACAACUAUUGGAAACGAUAGCUAAUACCGGAUAACAGUAUUUCUCGCAUGGGAGAUAUUUAAAAGUUGGUUAUGCUAACACUAUGAGGUGGCUUUGCGGUGCAUUAGCUAGUUGGUGGGGUAAAGGCCCACCAAGGCGACGAUGCAUAGCCGACCUGAGAGGGUGAUCGGCCACACUGGGACUGAGACACGGCCCAGACUCCUACGGGAGGCAGCAGUAGGGAAUCUUCCGCAAUGGGCGAAAGCCUGACGGAGCAACGCCGCGUGAGUGAAGAAGGAUUUCGGUUCGUAAAGCUCUGUUGUUAGGGAAGAAUGGAUAUGUAGUAACUAUACAUGUAAGAGACGGUACCUAACCAGAAAGCCACGGCUAACUACGUG
rnacentral:rRNA from 1 species